UACAGAGGUCUCAAGCGUUGUUCGGAUUCAUUGGGCGUAAAGGGUGCGUAGGUGGCAUGGUAGGUCGGAUGUGAAAUCCCGGGGCUCAACCCCCGGAACUGCAUUCGAUACUGCUGCGCUAGAGUACUGGAGAGGAGAUUGGAAUUUACGGUGUAGCAGUGAAAUGCGUAGAUAUCGUAAGGAAGACCAGUGGCGAAGGCGGAUCUCUGGACAGUUACUGACACUGAGGCACGAAGGCCAGGGGAGCAAACGGG
rnacentral:rRNA from 1 species